AGUAGGCCUUGUGUUUCUUCUGUCAUUUUCAUUGUCAAUACCCCAGAUCCGAUUCGGAUUCAUUUCAGUAGCAAAGCAGCAGAGCAAGUAACAACAUCAAUAAGUCUCUAACCAAAUUAAAGGGUACAAAGUCUCGUCUUAUCGGAGAGACUUCUUUGAACGUCUAUUCUGUAACGUUAUGGUCGGGCAUGGGGAGUGAAUUUUUCGUGGAAACGUUUACCCCCUUUCGCCGAUGAGAAAGCCGCCGUCAUUUGCGUUCAUUUGAAGUCGAUCCGGUAAGGCAUCACAUGGAACAUAUUUUUCGCACCACCCUAUCCAUUGUGAGUUCAUUUGCUGAUGCGAUGAAGAGCCGGCCCUUGUACUUAGUCA